UCCGGUUUGUCACCGGCAGUCUCGCAUGAGUCCCCAACUAAAUGCUGGCAACAUGCGACGGGGGUUGCGCUCGUUGCGGGACUUAACCCAACAUCUCACGACACGAGCUGACGACAGCCAUGCACCACCUGUGCACCGGCCCCGAAGGGCUGCCGUAUUUCUACGACAUUCCAGUGCAUGUCAAGCCCUGGUAAGGUGGGGAUGACGUAUGGAAUGUCGAUA
rnacentral:misc_RNA from 1 species